GUGGGGGAUAUUGCACAAUGGGGGGAACCCUGAUGCAGCGACGCCGCGUGAGUGAAGAAGUAAUUCGUUAUGUAAAGCUCUAUCAGCAGGGAAGAAGAAAUGACGGUACCUGACUAAGAAGCCCCGGCUAACUACGUGCCAGCAGCCGCGGUAAUACGUAGGGGGCAAGCGUUAUCCGGAUUUACUGGGUGUAAAGGGAGCGUAGACGGCGAUGCAAGCCAGAUGUGAAAGCCCGCGGCUCAACUGCGGGACUGCAUUUGGAACUGUAUGGCUGGAGUGCAGGAGAGGCAGGCGGAAUUCCUAGUGUAGCGGUGAAAUGCGUAGAUAUUAGGAGGAACACCAGUGGCGAAGGCGGCCUGCUGGACUGUAACUGACGUUGAGGCUCGAAAGCGUGGGGAGCAAACAGGA
rnacentral:rRNA from 1 species